rnacentral:rRNA from 1 species
UCAAUAGCGGAGGAAAAGAAACCAACCGGGAUUGCCUUAGUAACGGCGAGUGAAGCGGCAAAAGCUCAAAUUUGAAAUCUGGUACCUUCGGUGCCCGAGUUGUAAUUUGGAGAGGGCAACUUUGGGGCCGUUCCUUGUCUAUGUUCCUUGGAACAGGACGUCAUAGAGGGUGAGAAUCCCGUGUGGCGAGGAGUGCGGUUCUUUGUAAAGUGCCUUCGAAGAGUCGAGUUGUUUGGGAAUGCAGCUCUAAGUGGGUGGUAAAUUCCAUCUAAAGCUAAAUAUUGGCGAGAGACCGAUAGCGAACAAGUACAGUGAUGGAAAGAUGAAAAGAACUUUGAAAAGAGAGUGAAAAAGUACGUGAAAUUGUUGAAAGGGAAGGGCAUUUGAUCAGACAUGGUGUUUUGUGCCCUCUGCUCCUUGUGGGUAGGGGAAUCUCGCAUUUCACUGGGCCAGCAUCAGUUUUGGUGGCAGGAUAAAUCCAUAGGAAUGUAGCUUGCCUCGGUAAGUAUUAUAGCCUGUGGGAAUACUGCCAGCUGGGACUGAGGACUGCGACGUAAGUCAAGGAUGCUGGCAUAAUGGUUAUAUGCCGCCCGUCUGA